AAUGCUGAGAGGUGUUUGUUUGAAGAACUGGCUUCAGACAAGCUUUGGUCAUCUCCAAAUGUGCCUUUGUCCAUGCUGCUUUUUCCUACUUUCCUUUCAGGCAGAUGAAACCAUAUUUCUGAUAAAAGGAGUGGCUGCUGCUAGAGGUUGGGGUGUAUCCUGUGUUUGCUGUGAAUUGUGCAUUCUUUCGCAUCCAGCACUGUAGGAGCGUGGGCCUCUCUUUGACGCUGUGCUGGAUGUUACCAGCUUCUGAGUGCUUGGCCAAAGCCAUUCCCAAACCUCCAGGCCCUUGGCCAAGCCUGGCGGCAUAGCUAUGCCGGGGGAUACUCCCAUGUAAAACUCAUUAAAAAGUGAGAUGUGAAGAGCGCACCUAAGCUACGCUGAAGUCAGCGGGCCCUUGGCUUGAGCUACUGGCAGGGUCAAGGUCUGAACAGCUCAAAGAGAAGGGAAGGGAGAAGAAAGAGGUACAAAAAUACCGGCAUGUGAUUACUCAUGGGCAUAGGUGCAGGUUUAACUCGUGGACAUUCGUUUUAUCUAUGAGUUUGCUUAGAUUUUAGCUCCCAGGCUUUGUUUUAGAAACUGGGGGAUUCUUGUGCGCGGUGUUAUCUCACUGGCAUAGGAGCACCUUCUGCUGAGAAGCUGCUUUGAAGAAGCAAUUAGAAAGACUGAUCUGAAUGAGAAGAGAUUGAAGCAGAGGCAUUCUAAGAGGACAAAGAGCUGUGAAAGUGCACAAAUAUGUAACAGAGGAAUCAGCGUCUAACAACAAAAUACAUUUUUGUGUCAUGCUCUCCCUUUCUAUCUCAAGACAAAUUUUAAUCUUAUUUUUUUACUGAUACAGUUUGAUUUUCUUGAUAUAGUCUUAGGCAGCUGUAACUGAGAAUAAAUUAGAUCUUGGUUUGCUAACAGGGGCCCUGACCAAGGGAGCAGUUGAGCACACACUUAGCAUGAAGUACAGGAGUUGUUCCCCCACAUCAGUGGUGCUAUGCCUGGGCUUUAAGCUCAGCAUCUUUUCACGUAUUUGGAGUGUACAGUUCACAAGAGCUGGUCUCUAACCUCCUCCCUUUUCCCACUUUUGUACAUCAAACCUUCAGAUAUUUUCAUGUGAAAACAAGAAGGGUUGCAAAGGGAAGUAUUACCACUUUUCUACCUUCCUCUGAGAAAAACUGGCCUCCAGCCUGUGAGGUGAGUCUCAGUUUCGGACAACUCCUUUGCUUACCCCCGUCCCCAUAGCUCUGCAUGAGCAUGGUUAUGCCUGCAAGGGAGGGAAUUAGAGCAAGGUGUCUGUGGGAAGACUGUGCCUCCCUGCACUGCACAGCGGAUGGGAUGGAAGGACUGGAUUUUAAUUUAAACACUUAAUUUUGAGGGAAGUAAUAAAGCAGAAUAGAAAGUGAAGAUGUAUGUGCCCAAGAAACCUUCUGAAAUGUCUCCUAUUUUUAGAAUGCUUUGCAAAUGCUUUUCAUGCAAAUGUAUACGCACGUAUACAUACUUAUGUAUAUCACUGUUAUGUAAAUCAGAGCUGGUUUCUUAUUGACUGUGUUAAGAAGCUUUGAAAAGGCUGUGACAUUUCCUUUUCUGCAAAGGAGUUUUUGUUUUUAAAGAAAUAAUUGAACCCGUGUGUCAUAAAGGUGUUUGGAAGCAGCCAGGCUCUGAUAGCUGUAUUCAUGCUGAAUGCGAUCUCAUUGAGCGAGCGGUCCGCUGCAGUGCUGCGCUGAAUGCUGAUCAACUUCCAGUUGCUCUCUCAGACCUCAUGCCUGCUUAUGGCAGCCAGCAGAGCUCCACCCAAAGUGUUUACAGGUGACAGCUUGCAGAGCCACCUCCCUGAGGUGCAUUGCAGAGCUGGAGAGCCCGAGGAGCAAGGCAGGCUUUGCAGAUGGUCUCACUGAACAUUCCCCUGCAAACAGGGCACCAGAGGGGAUGGAAGAGAGACGUAACAGAAACUUGCUCUGUCUCCCCACACUGCCAAAAAGCAAAGAUCUGGCCCGUGGAGCCACAGGACAGCCAUCACUUGUGGUGCACAGUCACACCAAGCCUCAUGCCCUUUCUGUGUGUGAUGCUGCAGCCGCAUCUCCAGUGAUGGCACUGGGUGGGGUCUGGAGCAUCCGUGCACAGGGAGCCCAGCACCCAACUUGCUGGGGUGCCUUUGGAGGGAAAAUUCCAUUCUCCAAACCACCAUGUGGGCCUCCAUCCUGCUGGCAAGCUGUCAGGAGAUGACUAUUGCGGACCUCUUUGGUGCAAAACCUCUUAUAAAGUCAUCAAAGCCCAGCGGGAAGCCAAGAAUUCCUGAGGCUGGAUUGCAUCCCAGAGUGUCCAGUAAGCAAAGAUGUACAUUACGUGUAUGCCUAAAAUGGAAACGUGAGCUGGUGCUUACUUCUACAUCUUCAAAGGCAGCAGCCACCAGAUCCUCUCUGGAGCCCAAAUGCUGGUCCCUGCCCACGGCCCUCGGUGCCGGCUGGGAUCAAAGGUGAGCACCAGGUCCCAGGCCACCGGCACGGGAGCAUCUGUGGAGCAGCAGCCAGAUGGGAAGAGCUGCAAAUAGAAGGAGCGGCUCCACCGCAUCUGUAUGACGAUGAAAACAUGCAGCAGUCGGAAAACAUCUUGGCAAAUCUGAUUUUCUUUCUGGAAGUGGAAGGAUGUUUCUUAGUAGCAGCUUCUGCCCAUGUCCGUCAGCUGCUUUAUGUGACUUUCCUUUUCACUUUCAGCUGUCUGUUCUGAAUGCCAAAGGAAAUGAAAAGGGAUUAUUUUACACCCAAGUCGUAUAUCCCUUAAGAAAGGGAGCACCCUGCUGUGCCAGCUAGUGGUUUCUAUACAGUGGCAAGACAUAGAAAACAGACACUGACUUUUCAAAGUAAAACUCUCCAGGGAGUUACUGCUCUCCCUGAGGAAAUACCAUUUACUGUGCACCAACUCCAUUUGUUCGAGGGACACUUUUAGCAUGUUUCCCAGAUUUUAAUGCAGUUCAGGUUGUCACAGCACAGGAAGGUAGGAGCUGCCUUUGGUGAGUAUGAACAACGGGCUCAAAGACUGGGUUUUGUGGUUAUGAGGAUUGUUUACUUAGGAAGAUCAAUGAAUGAGCAGGCAGUGUGGACCAGUGAGGUAAGUGAGGCAGAGCAGUGGUGUCCUCUCACCACCGCCGUCUCUCCUGAUGUACUCAGACAGGAGGCAGGAGGGACAAUCAUUGGCAUGCUGGAAUUCCACUGGGAUUUCAGCCCUGAGCUCCAGCCAAAGAGGUGAAACCAAGCUGUUUCCAUGUCAUCUGCAUUUGCUGAGUAUUCAUCCCUCCUGCUCAUAAAGGAAAACAAAAAAAAAAAAAAAAAGGAAAAGAGAAGAAAGAAAGCCUCACACUUUCUGUGGCAUCUCAAGCUGGGGGGAAAGGCCAAGAUAAAUGGAUACUUUCAAGGUCAUUAGCUUGUGGAGCUCAGUUUGUAUCGCCCUGCCAAAGCUCUGCUUGGAGAGGUUAUAAAUGUAUUUCGACAGGAGCAGGGAGCUCAUUGUUGGAGUUUGGAUCCUCUGCUUGGCUGACAGUGAAAAAUCCCAGUUCUGAUGAAGCAGCCCCCCUCCCGCUUGGAAGAUCUUUUGUCUAUUCAUCUGCAGCAGAGAACACAAUGAAUUAGAUGUGCAAUCGAAGAUAUCACAAUGCCUUGCCAGUAUGGAUGCCACCAUCAGAAAUGCCUCUGGGAAGCUGACCUUCCCGGCGGCCUACCAUAAGGAACGCAAAGGCAAGCCUUGUUUGCUGUCCUAGGAAAUUACCUUGAAAUGAUGACCAGCCCUCUCCAUCUCACCAGCCAGCAUCCCUACGGGCUGUGGUGGAGGGACAGAGGAAGGGACAGAGCCAGAAAUGCAGGGUGUUGGGCAAGGCACUGCUCCUCUCCCCGGCAGACACUGGUGCCACCCCAUGCCAAAGCAUGGCAUGUGGGUGUUUCACAGAGUGCCUGAUGAUGUGUGAGUGAGCAGCUGAGCUGGCUACCACCCUGCUUUACUGUCCACAUUUCUUCUGCCUUUUCUGACUACUUUGCCACCCAGCAGCGAUGCUGGGCUCAGAAUGGCUGCACUGAAGGGCACGCAGUGUGUCACUUUGUCAUCCACAUGUAUACCUGGAGCUCUCAGUCAGGGUCAGCAUCCUUCAGCCUCCUUGACCUGCCCGAAGGCUGUAUAUCAUGCUAUGUGAGACCCAUGUAAAGUCUUCCUUCAAAACCAAGAUUUCUCAAUUUCUCCAGAUGCAGGCUGGUUUUGCUUGGCACAUGGAUGCUGCUCCCGGCGUUAUGGGCUCCACAGGUGCCAAGGGACUCAGAAGUACUGCAGAUAAAUUGCUAUUUAGGGUCAAUGCCACAGGCUGAAAUGGAUAGAAAAUUCCAUCUAUUUGGUGCACAGUCAAGCCAGAUGUUUUAUAGCCUCUGGUGGAAUAUCAGUAGACGUAUUUCACAGCAGUAAAGGUCAAAGAUGGACUCUAAAAUAAGUGGAGCCAGCAUUUUUGAUGGCUCUCAGAUUAGAGGAAUAUUUACUGGCAGAGAAUAUCUGCAGAACAAGAACAUCUCAGUCAAGAGCUGGAGAAGACUUUCAGCAACAGCCAGCACCUCUCAGAGCCUGCCAGGUCUCCCUGAACCUUGAGCAAAAAUGGAGGGCCCACAGUGCCUCCCUGGCACAGGAGGACUUCUCUCUCUCCUUCCAGGGCACGAAAGGCAUCUGAGCUGAGUCCCUUUCCCCCUUGACUGCACCCAGCUGAAGUGAGUUCCUUGGGAAGUGAUUUCUGCUCAUCAUUUCCAGGCUGUGAAACUGAAGUACAGGAAACCUGGGAGCUGCAGCUUCUGGGGUCUCCAUGGCCCCUCCUUCCCACAGCCCACCGAGCCUGCAAGGCCUGCACCUGCCUGGGUGCUGUGGGGAGAUGCCUUCCAGGCUCUUUCUCCUACCACCUCCAGAAGCAAAGCCCCAAGGGUCUCCCAGAAGUGGCUGCUCUAUAGCAAUGCCUCAGCAUAGAGCAACUAGCAUUUAUUCCCACUUAUUCACAGCAGGCUUUGCAGGACAGUCAGAGAGAUCUGAGAUUUAACUGCCACAGGUCCAUUUGGCUACAGAACUUACCCCCAGGAUAAUCUUCUCUGUAUGUUUUAGUUAAUAUAAGAACUAUCCCCAAGCCUAUAUAGAGUAAGAGCUGCAAUAAUACAAUUUGAGAGUGGACAGGGCAUGAAUUAGUGGUGCUCCUUCAGAGGUAUUUCUUAAAUGGCACACAGGAAUACUUAGAACAGAUGUUAUAUUGCUUUUAGAGAACAAAAAUGGGUCAGACUUUACAGCGAAGUCUCUAACCAUUGCGUAGUCUCUGCUGUCCUAUAUUUCUCAGGAUGGAACCAUGAAGCACUCACUCUCCUGAUCCAGCUGUCUGAAGCAACCCUGGUGUGCAGGAGGGACAUAUCCCUCUAGGAACCAUGGGCAGGUGGGGUGGCAAGUUGUGCCUGGGCCUGGGCAUCUCUGCCUUUGUUAGUGGUGGGGAGGUGGGGAGGAGGUUGGGAGGCAGCCAUGGGGCUCUCUAAGGUUGGCCCAGCAGCCCGGCCAGUGGGAGCAUGAGAGGUCGUGCCUGUUCGCUGGUGUCCUGGGACAACCUGGGGACUGAACCAUGUCAAGCUAAUAAUUUGCUGUUACAGAAGAUCUUCCUGAAAAAGCAACCUCCCUUUGUAUGACUUUUGUUGGAAAAUGAGGUUUCCCUGUGUAGCAAUGGUUAAAAGACAUACUCAUGCUCCAUGUAACUGCAUCUCUGUGCUGACCAUAGGCAGCCAAAUUGCAUCACAGGGCUUGCUGAUACCCGUGGAAGCCUCACCAAUCUAUGUGCUUUAAAUAAACUGACCUAAAAUGUCCUAGUAGCAAGACAUCCAGCCAGAAAAAGGCCAAAGAGUAGCAGAAAGCUUACCAUGGCAGGCAACAAUGCAAAAUAACUCAGCCAUUCAAAACCAUUCAUUGUUCACGUCAGCCCUUGAUUAAUAGGCGCUUAAAUUAAGUUUUGUUUGUUUGUUUGUUUGUUCUGGGAUUAGCUGCUUUGCUUGGAAGGAACACAAGCCCCCCACAAGGUAAAGAGGGGUGACGCAGGCUUCUGGCUCUCCUGUACUCUCACCUGCCUGAGAAGUGAAGGAGUCUUGUGGGGCUGUGACUGCCAGGAUAGCUGUUCUUUGGUGAGUGACAAUGCAGUGGACGGAAGGCCUUGGGACUUCCCCUGAUCCUUCAGAACCAGUCCUCGGAGGUAAUGCCAGGCUCUGAGUGCUUUGCUGGAACAAAAGUUGGACGCGCUUCCCAUUGCGGUGAGGGGAACAGAAAUUAAACUUCAUGAACUUGAACAAAAGACAAAUCACUGGGAGGGGAGAGGAGAGGGAAAGGGAGUGAAACUACAGACAAUUAGUACUGUACAGGCUCUGAUAGAUCAUUAAUGAGGGAUAAUAUCCAAUUAAGGAGGAGGAUGGAAAAUCUGGGGAAUGCCUGUACAUAUUCCAGUAAAUUGCUCACAGAUCCUCCCUAUUCCCCUCUCCAUCUCUGAUGAUCAUCUAAAUGGGAAGAAAAUGUUGGAGUGAAAUAGAGUUGAUGGAAAUAUCUGGAGCCCCCAGGCAGGUGGCUGUCUUCCCGGAUGUCCUGGGAGCACGGCCCCGGUCACAUGCCUCAUCAGAAAUGCACGAACUGAAGGGUGCGCGAGAGGCAGCCUGGAAGGCUCUGGCAAUGAUUUAACUCAAUUAUAGUCUGUGGGAGGGCUCAGCUUCACAUCAUGAGGCAAACACAGGGUGAGUAACUGAUAUAAGACCGAACGGCACUUUCCUUGUGCCUUUUGUCUUUAGAGUGGCAGGAGGUGGAUAAUAUUCCUGCAUUGGCAUGGCAAGGCUGGAGCUCGGGAGACUGUGGUAAAGCAUUAAGGCUUUUUUGUUGUCAGAAAGGUCAUCAGCAACUUGGAAAUGCAGAUUUCCUUCUAACAGGAAGCCUCUUUUUUAAACUUUCUACCCAUCUCAGCGUUUCUUUAAAUGGAACUGUUAGUCCUGUUGAUGUGACCUAAAUCAGCAAUGUCCUGCAUAGGAAAGAGAAAUAAUUCACAGUCCCCAGUGUCUCAGAAACACUUGUUUGGAUUGACAGAGCAAAGAUCUGUUUCCAGAGAGCCUCCUAUAAAAAUAGCUGGUAGCAAUUUUCAGAACUUCUGAAUUGUCUGGUUUUGGUGUUUUUGUGGGCUUUUUUUUUUUUUUAUAAUAUCUUUUAUUUUUAAGCUAAAACAAAACAAAGCAAAGCAAACAAACAACAACAAACAAAAAACAAAUAAAAACCCAAACUUUAAUUUUGUCAGCAGUAUUGUUUUCUAUCUAGCACCUAUGUCCUUUUAUUUUUUUAUUUAGCACCUUUCUUCAAGUGAUUCUCAAAGCAGCAUUGGGAGUAAAACUAAGUCAAUUUGUUUCAGUCGAUGCACCUGAUGUAUGUCAGGAGAGCUGGAGGAAAUUCUGAGACUUUUCAGGAAUUCUGUAGUCUUUUCCAAACACCAGUAAGUCCCUUUUCCUCUCAAGCUCUAAGACUAAAUUCUGUCUCCACUGUUGCAGUAAGGAACAGGGACAAUUACAUGCCUGCAUUUACAAAUGGUUUCUAAACAGCAUAAUCACUGAGCUCCCAAAGGUCUGAAAGAUGGGGCUUCGCUUGCUCUCUCCAUUGCUUCUUUCCACCACAGAAUUACAUAUAAUAUACAUAUCCCUUUCACAGUGUUUACAACUGGUGGUUAUUGUACCUGCAGAAGUUACAGAUCCCGUUUUUCCCAGGACAGUGCUGUUGGUGUGCGCAAAGGCACAAUACAGGCAAGAUUAAUAUCAGCUUCUGCUUUGCCAUUCCAAGCCCCUGCUAAGUGUAAAUAAUAUUUUAGCAAAGAUCUUGAUGCAUCAUGAUCUAUUGUGUUGCAGUGAUGAUGCUGCUUGUUAUGUCUUUAGCAGUGAUUUAUCAUCCUCUGCAAUGACACAAAUCACGGAUGGCUCAUGACACUCCAGGAUGUAUGAUCUCUUAGUGGUGGCAGUGAUGAAUUCUGCGCUUAGAUCAUAACAUUUUGAAACCUGGGAUGUGGAGCUGAUCCUUUGCUUUUUUCUUUUAAAAGGUACCUAAAGCAAUAAAAUCCUCUCUUUGUUAACAAUACGUCGAGGAGCACAUCUCUCCCUUUCACGAUAGCUUGUUAUGGUUCAUUCUAGCUAAGCCUCAAAUGGUUAUCAGGCAACUCUGGAUUACUCAUUCCUUUUGCUUUUCCCUCUACUAUCUUCUAACCUUUAAUGUCCUCCUCCUGCAUUCUGGUCCCAGGGACAUAUUUUGAAAUUCUGCUGCAUGUAUAAUGAGUAUAAAAUGUUCCUCUCGGAGCUGGAGAAAGCUCAGAUGUUUGGGUACAGUAGGCCCGUUCCGACACAACAAGCCUACGCUCAAGCUGUGAUCCCAACAGAGAAGAAAGCUCUUCAGGUCUGAGCUGCUCUCCUCCAGUGAGCUGCAGCCCUGCCGGCUCCGCUCCCAGGAAGUGGAAGCACUUGCUCUUGUUUAUUUUUAUCUGAAACAUCUCAGGUAAGAGAGGAUGGAAUGGGGAGGGGGAGUGUCAGAGCCUCAUUCUUCACUGCUGGGUCCCUCCUGCUGUCAGGACAGGGUGCUUCUACCUUGGGAAAUUCAUAAAUUAUGGGAAGAUUUCCGAUUUGGGGAUUUUAGCAAUGAAAAAAGAGAUGUUAAUGUCAAAGGAAAAAAAAAAAAAAAGUAAAAAAGAAAUUCCCUAGCGAUAAGACAGGGUCAAGUGGUUCCCUCCAUGGUGACCCCCACAGGUACUGGCACCCCGGGCUCAGGCCGCAGCCCAGUGGAGGUGGUGAUAGGUCCUGGUCAGCCAUCCUCCAUGGGGAUGACAGCGAUCAAGUGGGGCCUAGCGCACCUCUGGGGACACCUGGGUUUGCCCCAAUCCCCCAUCUUCAUUGUCACUGCCUGCAGGCUCUGAGGAGGCUCGUCACCACUUGAUGGAGCACAAGAGGUGAGCGAGGAGAGCUGAGGAAUCCUCAUGGGAUGCUGGGCUGGCUGGCUGUCCUGGCCUGGGCCCCAGCAUGGCUUCCAGGGAGCCCAUUAAUAACCCAGAUCCUGCUCAUGGGGAUGGGACGCCUCAGGAUGCCCUAUCACUUGGUGCCAGCCCCCUCGGUUGCAGCUGCUGCCCACCAGCAGGGGCCUGGGCAGCCGCCAGCCUUACAGGUGCUCUGCCAGCCAGCGGUGCCCUGCCAGCCAAGAAGUCCUUGGUGGAUGGAUCCACACCAGCACCGUCCAUGUUACAGGGCAGAGGCAGCCUCUCAGCAUUGUGGCACUGCCACCACAGCAGCUAGGGCAAGGGACAGUGCAGGACACCAGUGCAGCAACUCAAGGCAACAUCUCCUCAGGUGUGCCCAGAGGACUGAGGUGCUGUGCCCCAACCUGUCUCUGCAGGACAUGACCAGCCUGGCCACUUCAAGGCUGUAGCGUGCUUGGAGUUGGCUGCAUGUGGCUGAUGGUCCAUCCCAUGGUAAAAUCUCAGGGAAGUGGUGUUUCUGGCCUUCUCAUUUCCCUGGAGGAGUCCUCAGCCAGUCCGCCAACCAUAAGAAUUCACUUCUGAAGAGAAGACGGCUCAUUUUAAGGAAGGAGAUUUUUCUAAAACCUAACAAAAUAAGAACUGUAAUUAUCAGCCAGAGACAGCAAAGCAUUGUGGAAAAUAUUAACUCCAGUAGUGAAUGUUCAGCCAUGUUACGAUGUAACAAACCAAGAUUCUAGAAAAGAAAAUCUUAGGCUAUGCUUUAGAGCUCAUUAGUGCCUAUGUUUUCUGUAAUUCAUUGCAUGAUAUGACAUCAAGAUAUAAUAUUGCUGCAACAGGCAAUGUUCCCUAAGAAGAGAGUUAUAAUGAGCAAGACACAAAUGCAUUGUAAUACAUACUUUCUAGGUUACAUGCUCUGGAGCGGUCAGCUAUGAAAAUCCAUAGUGGCCAUUCAGACUGAGCCCUUCCUUAUUACUGGUCCUAAAUGUCCAUUUAUAGAAAGGGAAACAUUUAUCUGUAGCUUGCAAAGGUGAGAGAAGCCAUUUCAGCUACACCUUCUCAUGGUAUCACAUUUCUUUAGUUUCCAGGGCAUAGAUGUGGUUGUCACUGAAAUUCUCAACAGUGGGGAUUUUACACAGAUAAUACAUUUAUCACAUCUAGCACUCACUGCAAGUCUCUAGAAAAUUUGACUUCAACUUGCAAAUACGUUCAAGCUGCCCUGACAUACCAUUUGUGGAAGCCCUUGCUGUUUUCCAGAAUAUUACAUGACGAUGCCAAGGAUGGCUACUUGGGGAGAGGUGAGGAUUCACCUUCAAAAAAAGGAUUGUUCCUGUUCUGGUGAAGGACUUGAGCGCCAAUGCAGCUCUAAGCAUGGGAGGAAGUUACAUGUGUUUCAUGAGAUGGCUCACCUUUAAAAUUAAAGUACUUAAUAACU